AACGAACGCUGGGGGCAGGCCUAACACAUGCAAGUCGAACGCCCUAGCAAUAGGGAGUGGCAGACGGGUGAGUAACACGUGGGAACCUUCCCUAUAGUACGGAAUAGCUCAGGGAAACUUGAAGUAAUACCGUAUACGCCCGAGAGGGGAAAGAUUUAUCGCUAUAGGAUGGGCCCGCGUCGGAUUAGCCAGUUGGUGAGGUAAUGGCUCACCAAGGCGACGAUCCGUAGCUGGUUUGAGAGAACGACCAGCCACACUGGGACUGAGACACGGCCCAGACUCCUACGGGAGGCAGCAGUGGGGAAUAUUGGACAAUGGGCGCAAGCCUGAUCUAGCCAUGCCGCGUGAGUGAUGAAGGCCUUAGGGUUGUAAAGCUCUUUAGCAGGGAAGAUAAUGACUGUACCUGCAGAAUAAGCUCCGGCUAACUUCGUGCCAGCAGCCGCGGUAAU
rnacentral:rRNA from 1 species